rnacentral:rRNA from 1 species
GACGAACGCUGGCGGCGUGCUUAACACAUGCAAGUCGAACGGAAAGGCCCUGCUUGCAGGGUACUCGAGUGGCGAACGGGUGAGUAACACGUGGGUGAUCUGCCCUGCACUUCGGGAUAAGCCUGGGAAACUGGGUCUAAUACCGGAUAGGAGCCAUUUUUAGUGUGAUGGUUGGAAAGUUUUUUCGGUGUAGGAUGAGCUCGCGGCCUAUCAGCUUGUUGGUGGGGUAAUGGCCUACCAAGGCGGCGACGGGUAGCCGGCCUGAGAGGGUGGACGGGCACAGUGGGACUGAGAUACAGACCAGACCCCAACGGGAGGGAGCAGUGGGGGAGGUUGCAAAAGGGGCGCAAGCCUGAUGCAGCGACGCCGCGGGGGGGAUGACGGCCUUCGGGUUGGAAACUCCUUGCGCUAGGGACGAAGCUUUUUGUGACGGUACCUAGAUAAGAAGCACCGGCUAACUACGUG